CAGCACUGCCCACCUGAUCAGAACCAGAGAUCAGAACCAAGCUUCCUACAGCAUAUCACGUAGCACACAAGUGUCGAUUUAAUGCUAUAGGGUGGAGCUUGUGGGCUCAUUUCCAGAGGUGAUCCAAUCACAAUGACCCAUUCUUCUAACUUCUUAAAUGUGCCUGUUGACCCCUGGGACAUUAUAGUCCCUGCAUGUGUUACUGAGAAUUGUUGUAAAAAUGAUUACUCUGAUGUUCUGAUACCACAGUUGACCUGUUGAUAUCGACCAUGAACUAAGGAGGUGCUGCACAUUGGUUACUUUGCUCUAGCUUGUGUGUGUGUGUGUGUGUGUGUGUGUGUGUGUGUGUGUGUGUGUGUGUGUGUGUGUGUGUGUGUGUGUGUGUGUGUGUGUGUGUGUGUGUGUGUGUGUGUGUGUGUGUGUGUGUGUGUGUGUGUGUGUGUGUGUGUGUGUGUGUGUGUGUGUGUGUGUGUGUGUGUGUAACUUAUUUUACUUUAUGUAUUGACUAUUAUUGUCUGAUCUUUCUGCAAUGGCACUUGAUAUGUUUUUGUUGUCAUGGUCAUGUUCUUUUGAGCUUCAUAAAAAAGGUUUGAGAAUGUAAAAAAGCCAAAAUGUAUUUUAUUAAUGAAAUUAAAUGACAUUAAAACAUAACUGGUGCCUAAUUUUUGUAACUAAGACCACUAGAGAGAGCUGUUGUGUCCGUCUUUCUGUCUGUCUCUUGCAGCCUCCUCCUCUCCCUUUGUGUCUCUUGUCUUCUCACUUACUCUCUGUAUCAGUCUCUUGUCCUGUCUCACACACUCUCUCUCUUUCUCUGAUGUGCUGACACUUCUGUGACUCUGCUCUGAGCCCUUUCACUGUGGUUAUCAUCAUGGCUGACAUCCUGAUUACGGUGAGAUGGGCAAAACCCCAUGCUAUUCCUCUUUUCAUUUCAGCUGUGCUGAUCUCGUCUGUUCUCCCAGGCCUGUGGCUGCACACAGAAGAGAAGAGUGGCAGAAUGUAUCAAGCUGUUUCCAGAUCUUCGUCAGUAGCUGUGAUGUAUCUCAGGGCAUAACAGAUUUUGACGUGUAUAACUACAUCAGAGUGGGUCUGGGCUACAGUUCUGAGGACCUGCUAUGGACAGAAUCUGUAUCCUGCGACCCACUUAAAGACCAAAAUGGAAGGUUCAGCCCUCCCUCUAUUUCCAUCUCCCUGGAGGAGCGCAGGAUCUGGGUGGAGGUGGCCUUCCCCUGUGCUCCUGCAGCUGCUUGCUGGGAGCAGACGCCCGCUCUGAGAUGUUGCUCCGUCAUUGACUUUUUGCAGCUGAACACCACACUGUGGCUUUACAACAAGCACAAUGCGUCUGACGCUCAGACUCGCACUGAGCUGGUGCAGAAGGGCGGGCCCUUCAGCGUGGAGUUUAUUUGGCUCACUCCGGGUCAGGAGUACUGUGUGGUGGUCUCCACCGCUUCCUCCCCCUUUUCCCGUCCGCAGUGUGUUUAUGUGCCUGUGCUGGAGAACCUGAACUUGGUUGUGCUGGGACUGAGUGGUGUGCUCAUUACUUUUCUUCUCAUUGCUGUGUGUGGGCUGGGGAUCCGGUGGGCCUCAUCUGACAGCACACUCCCUAAAUCUCUGUUGGCUCUUCAGAGUGUGAACCAGGAGGACCCAUUUGAGAGUGAGUUGAGACGGCCAUCCCUGGAGGCAGAGGGCCAUGUUCUCAGCCAUCUCUCGAUCAUCUCCCUCUCCAACAUGGUAGUUUUUGAGCCCGACUCACACCAAGAGCCCUCCUCAAGCCUAGGCGCUGGGUACUACGCUUCGCCGCUGCUCCAGCACAGCGCCUGCCCUGGAGACCAUGAAGAGACUGGAGACUUGGAGACAGAUGGUGGUUCAUCUCCGCCUGAAGGACCGGAGUUUGUGCAGCUAUGGGAGCCGGCUCAUGCAGAUUCCCUUCCUCUGGGUCUCCCAGGGGUCCCGCUGAGCUCCGUCAGACUGGCCAGGGCACAGGGGGAUGAGGCGGAGCUUCAUCACCUACCCAGUUUGCUUAUGAACCUGAACGGCGACCAUGAUACGCAUGCACAGGCUGCUGGAUAUCCGGCAGAACAGAACAUGAGUUCUGAUAUCAAACUCAUGUUCUGACUUUCCUACUCAAACUUGAUCUAUCUUGAUCCUCUACUAACUUUAAUCCAGGCUGUUUUAAAAUCCCACCAGGCAUUCUAGCUAUAGUAUUGCCUACUGCUCUAAACCCAGAUAUACUUCAAGUGAAAACCUGAAGCCUUGGGAUAUGAUUUCUAAGUAUUGUUCCCCACAGUUUUUAUACAAUUCACUAAUCAGUGCCUGAGACCAAACUCACUUCUUUAAGGACCCUUCUGAGGCUGCCUAGCACAACCCUGUGCAGUUGGAGUCAUUUUGUGUGCCAGUCUAUGCCACCUUGUAUAUCUUAUUUUAUGUGUGAAUAAAUCAAAUAAAUGGUGAAAUGGAAAGGGCUGCUCAGGGGUUAUUGGACUCCAGAUUUGAUGUUGAUUUUGGGAUAACCCCCCCCCCCCCCCCCCCCCCCCCCUGCUCACUGGUGUGACUCAUUCCGGUAGGCUGCUAUAAAUUCUCACAUGCCGUUUUAACCCCCUGUGGACUCGUUAGUUUUUGGGUAGGCGUGAGUGAGGCAUGUGCUUUCAGCCCUCUCCUUUCCUCCCUGAUCUAUGUGAUGUUUCACUGGCCUUACAUGAACAGUGAUUUGCUGAUGCAGCCAUUUUUUCUGGAAGGACUGAAGUAGAAUAGUCUCUAAGAAAUUAGAAAAGCACUCAUGGCACUGGCUAAGCAUCGUUGAUGUGUAUGGAUUUAAUUGCAAUUAUUGUUUUCUUGUGUAUUUAAUUUUUUUUGGGGGG
ensembl:lncRNA